AUUGAACGCUGGCGGCAGGCCUAACACAUGCAAGUCGAGCGAGCGGCGGACGGGUGAGUAAUGUCUGGGAAACUGCCUGAUGGAGGGGGCUAACUACUGGAAACGGUAGUUAAUACCGCAUACCAUCAGAUGUGCGCAGAUGUGAAUAGUUAGUAGGUGGGGUAACGGCUCACCUAGGCGACGAUCCCUAGCUGGUCUGAGAGGAUGACCAGCCACACUGGAACUGAGACACGGUCCAGACUCCGACGGGAGGCAGCAGUGGGGAAGAUUGCACAAUGGGCGCAAGCCUGAUGCAGCCAUGCCGCGUGUGUGAAGAAGGCCUUCGGGUUGUAAAGCACUUUCAGCGGGGAGGCGUUACCCGCAGAAGAAGCACCGGCUAACUCCGUGCCAGCAGCCGCGGUAAUAC
rnacentral:rRNA from 1 species